UUCUUGUCUUUGGGCCAUUUCUGGUCAGGGCUGAUUGUGGCGUUGUCCUGGGCUGUGCCGGCAGCUCUAGCCAUCCAGUCUCAGGGACUGGAACUUCAAGAUGCUGGGAAGAAGUUCUUAGGUUUUUCAUCAGCUUCUCGUUUGGUUGCGACGUCUCUGCUCGGUUGUGGCGCUGCCGCCGUCUCGUCAGGAGCCGUGACGUCGGGCUCCUUUUCCGUUUGAGGAUGCAGGAGAGGCUCCUCUCCUCCCCGUAGAUUAUUGGGAUCGAUGCCCGUCUGGUCUCGGAGCGUCGUGUUCGUCGUGGAGCGUUUUUGGCGCUGUGGCCGUCGCGUGGUCUAUAAGGUUCUGCGGAGCGUCUGUCGGCCCGGGUGCGCGAUUGGCUCGGAGCUGCUCUGCCCGGACGCGUAGAGGCAGGGGAGGGUGGACGGAGCUCUGGCGGUCCCCGGUUAACCUGCUGACGCGUUGAAUUGCGUGGGCAGAGGCGGCGCGGUCAUCUGGGAUGGAGUAGCCGUGGGCAGGGGAGCGGAGGGUCCCCGCGCAGGCGUUUGAGAGCCUCCACGAGAGCUUGGGACGUUCUUGCGCCACAGAAAGCAGACCUGUGGGCUGGUCAGGCUGUCGAUGGGCUGCUGGGUGACUUGCAGAAUCACCUGAUUUCAGGAGCAGAGGGACAACUUGGCCCGGAAGAGCGCCGGAGGAGGCGAGCUGUGCGCCGUAAGCAGGUGCGAAGCGAAGAGGAAAGCGGGCUGUCGGCAGCGCAGCUCCUCGGGCCAGGCGGCAGCUGAGCGUCUCGGCGGUCUGCGGCGUGGCAGUCAAAAGCAAGGGCGGCCGGGUGGGCGAGCGGCCCAGGUAAGGGAGGGCGAGCUGGGACCGUCUGCGGGCAGGCUGUGUUUUCGGGCGGCGUCCGAGCGCGUGCCUCUGGUUUUGCGGGUGCCGCAGACGAGCCGGCAGGGGCGAAGCCGCACGCCGGCCGGCAGCCGAGAAGGUGAGGCGGCGGUGGGCGUUGAGGAGCCCGGUAUUGCCCGGUCUCUCACUUCAUCUUUUCCUUCUCGCUUUGCAGGCGCUUUGUGGGCCCUCUGGACCGGGAGGAGCAUUUGCGGUGAGCCGGGCUAGGGGCGAGGAGGAGCGUGGGGCCGGGGACUCGUUCCCGGCGCCACGGUUUUUUUUUGCUUCUCGCCGUCGUAGGCGUCACCAGC